rnacentral:rRNA from 1 species
UACGUAGGGGGCCAGCGUUGCUCGGAAUUACUGGGCGUAAAGGGUUCGUAGGCGGUGCGGCAAGUUGGGAGUGAAAUCUCUGGGCUUAACUCAGGGGCUGCUUUCAAAACUGCCGCGCUCGAGUGCGAGAGAGGUCAGUGGAAUUGCAGGUGUAGCGGUGAAAUGACGUAGAUAUCUGGAGGAACACCGGUGGCGAAGGCGGCAUCCUGGACCGAUACUGACGCUGAGGAGCGAAAGCCAGGGGAGCAAAGCGGG